GCCUCCACGGCGAUACGUAUCCUAACAUUUGAACGAUACAGAUAAUAUUAGCAUGGCCCAUAUGCGCAAGGAUGAGACGCAACUCAAACAACUCGACUGACCUUGCUUAU